AGUCGUUGGGCCGGGGCCGACGAAACCCGGGCGAAAUGAAAAUGAAGAGUCGAGGGAAGAUGGCGUCAUAGAUCGGCCCGCAUUCCCGGGGUGUCACGAGAGGCGCGCCCAGAGCACACACGCUAGGACCCGAAAGAUGGUGAACUAUGCCUGGCCAGGACGAAGUCAGGGGAAACCCUGAUGGAGGUCCGAAACGAUUCUGACGUGCAAAUCGAUCGUCUGAGCUGGGUAUAGGGGCGAAAGACUAAUCGAACUAUCUAGUAGCUGGUUCCCUCCGAAGUUUCCCUCAGGAUAGCUGGUGCUCGGAGGAUUGAGUCUCUUCUGGUAAAGCGAAUGAUUAGAGGCUUGGGGUCGAAACGGCCUCAACCUAUUCUCAAACUUUAAAUGGGUGAGAACCCCGGCUUGCUCAAAAGCCGGGAUCACUUGAGUGCCAAGUGGGCCAAUUUUGGUAAGCAGAACUGGCGCUGUGGGAUGAACCAAACGCCGAGCUACGGCGACUAAAUCGACGGAAACC
rnacentral:rRNA from 1 species